CCUACGGGAGGCAGCAGUGAGGAAUAUUGCUCAAUGGACGAGAGUCUGAUCCAGCCAAGUAGCGUGAAGGAUGAAUGCCCUCUGGGUUUUAAGCUUCUUUUAUAUGGGAGUAAAAUGUUCCACGUGUGGCAUUUUGUAUGUACCAUAUCAAUAAGGAUCGGCUCACUCCGGGCCAGCAGCCGCGGUACUACGGAGGGUCCGAGCGUUAUCCGGAUUUAUUGGGUUUAGAGGGAGCGUAGGUGGAUUGUUAAGUCAGUUGUGAAAGUUUGCGGCUCAACCGUAAAAUUGCAGUUGAAACUGGCAGUCUUGAGUACAGUAGAGGUGGGCGGAAUUCGUGGUGUAGCGGUGAAAUGCUUAGAUAUCACGAAGAACUCCGAUUGCGAAGGCAGCUCACUGGACUGCAACUGACACUGAGGCUCGAAAGCGUGGGUAUCAAACAGGAUUAGAUACCCUGGUAGUC
rnacentral:rRNA from 1 species